rnacentral:rRNA from 1 species
UGGGGAAUAUUGCGCAAUGGACGAAAGUCUGACGCAGCGACGCCGCGUGUGGGAUGACGCCUUUCGGGGUGUAAACCACUGUUGCCCGGGACGAAAUGCCCUUUCGAGGGAAUUGACGGUACCGGGUGAGGAAGCACCGGCUAACUCUGUGCCAGCAGCCGCGGUAAUACAGAGGGUGCGAGCGUUGUCCGGAAUCACUGGGCGUAAAGGGCGCGUAGGUGGCUGGGUAAGCGUGUGGUGAAAGUCCGGGGCUCAACCCCGGAUCUGCCGUGCGAACUGCUUGGCUUGAGCACUGUAGAGGCAGGUGGAAUUUCGGGUGUAGCGGUGGAAUGCGUAGAUAUCCGAAAGAACACCGAGUGGCGAAGGCGGCCUGCUGGGGCAGUUGCUGACACUGAGGCGCGA